rnacentral:lncRNA from 1 species
ACAAAUGUUUUAAAUGCUACACUCAUGAACUUAUCACCCAUCAACUUUGUCUUGCUCCCCAUGCUUAAGGAUAGAGAAGAAUAAAUAUACUUUUGGUUCUGUUGGUGUUUUCCACCAACAGAACCCAUGCACUUGAUCUCUGCCUUGUCUCUAUGAGCAGGACACAUUUUGAGAAACAUGGAGGAUUUUUCAACUCUUAGACUCUACCAAGUGAAGGACCUGGAUCUACGAGCACAAACACACUGAGCAGGAUGCUGCCAACGCCGCACUUCGAACUGCUGGGAAAACGAAGAACAUGGGUGACACCGUAUCAAGAGGUGCAGAUGUCAGGGUCCACACCUAAAUCAAAUGACGCACCUGAAGAAUGAACACAGUGAGAAGUCUUGUUCAGAAGACUUAAAACAUUGAACCCUCGC